ACAUUCUAUAACUCAGAUGCACACCAAACGUAAGUGAUCCGUGUAUUGUAAUUCUUUCGCAAAGUAACAUUAAAGUGUUGACCACACAGUUGUUAUAACAGAUGGGGAUGUCUACAGAUGUCAUGGUUACUGUUAGUGUGGCCUUUAUGUUGUGUGUAACUAUUUCAGUGUGUUACGAACAGAAAGAUGAAAUUACCGUUUGGGAUGAAGUCUUACCUAUAAAAGAAGAAGUUUUGUUUGACAAAGACUCUGGAAUACCUUCAAAAACUCAAAGCAUUCCUCUUUCUAGUCUAUUGGCGGAUGUGUUUUGCCGGAUGUGCGACUUCUUUCCAAAUAACGAUCAGAAAAUGAUUUGUAAACGUCAACGGUGUAUUUAUGUCGGCAAUGCGAAGAGGUGACUUCCGGAGAACUCUUCUUACUUCUAAACAAUGCUACUUUAAAUUCCUGUGAUUUGUGUAAAGUAUCAUGUGGAUAUUGUAUUGGCAAAAGCCAUCUCAUUCAUGCGGAACAUAAUAUAUUAGAAUAUUUUUGAAUUAACAGAGUAUACAUUUAAGUCCACUAAAUGAGAAAUAAAGUCUAUACAGUACCUUU
rnacentral:misc_RNA from 1 species